rnacentral:misc_RNA from 1 species
AACAUCGCGCACCUGCGGGAACCUGCGGAAGGAUCAUUAAUGAUUGGUGGCUGUUGCUGACUAGUGUUUCUAGUAUGUGCACGCCACACCUUCAGUCCCACUUACACCUGUGCACCUUCUGUAAUAGAUCUAUGUGGAUACGGAGAUAUGAAAGUUUGCGCUCUCGUACUCUGUUGAAGCAGUCUACUACGUUUUUUUACACACACACAAUAGUCAUUGAAUGUAUUUUUUAUUCUUAUG